GACGAACGCUGGCGGCGUGCUUAACACAUGCAAGUCGAACGGUAAGGCCCUUCGGGUACGACGAGUGGCGAACGGGUGGAGUAACACGUGGGUGAUCUGCCCUGCACUUCGGGAUAAGCCUGGGAAACUGGGUCUAAUACCGGAUAGGACCAUGGACUUCACGGUUUGUGGUGGAAAGCUUUUGCGGUGUGGGAUGGGCCCGCGGCCUAUCAGCUUGUUGGUGGGGUAAAUGGCCUACCAAGGCGACGACGGGUAGCCGGCCUGAGAGGGUGUCCGGCCACACUGGGACUGAGAUACGGCCCAGA
rnacentral:rRNA from 1 species